GGCAAUUUGUAAUCUAUGGAUAACAGACACUUCAGACUUCAUCUUGCACAAAUCUAUUUAAUGGAAGUGGGCCGCAGUAUGUUUCACUAUAAUUAGUUCAGGGAUCUGUCAACACUAGGUGGAGAAGAAGCCACCAUCUUUCUUUCGGGAGUAGCCUCCAUUGGUGGCUGCAGUGUGAGGGGACACUGUGGAGAAAAGAGAAGAGGAAGUGGACUGAAUUUCAGAUCGUUGGCCUUUUCUAGGAAACUUUAAACAUCAAUACAUUUGUAGGUACUGUGGAGAAGCUUCUCAUAACAGCUGGGAAAACCGGCAUAUGGAGGACUGAUGGGAGGUACUUAUAGGUCUUCCACCCCCAGGUUUUUGCCCUUGCUGUAAAUGUUUGUCUCCUAGACCUAAGGCUGAGCAAAGAGGCUCUGAAAAAUUGAAUUAAUUUCCUAGCUCUAUAGUCAGCAUGUCCCCUGGUAUUAAUCUGGUACUUGCCAACUUAAUCAUUGCUUUCCAAGACCCACAGAUAUCCUUCAUCUUCCCUACUGUCCAAUCACCUUAAAUCCCUGAUUCAUGGGUCCAUUUAGAAAGACUCCCCCACUGCCCCAUCUGCUUACCCAGUCCUCUAACCCUUACCUAUGGAUCCUUGGAUGCUGUGGAUGGACUCCUUUUUAGGGUUGAUCCAGUGUCUGAUGUUAGCCAGGAAAGUGAUGGGUGGAGUGGGAGGGGUUAAAAAUUCUCCAGGGAAUUGGAUCUUGGUUCUAGAAGAAGGCAUAGGGAAGAAAAGUGGAGAGUGAAAUCAAUCAGAGAAAGGUGAGGAAGGCAAGGUAGUUGAAUGUGAUCUCAAGAAUAAAGCAGCCAAAGACUCUUUUUACCUCUGUGGGAUUAACCAAAGAUUUUGUUUAUACAGAUGAGCACAAUCUUGGGAGAUUUCUGUUCAUCUUAGACAGUGAAAAUACAGAAACUAUAUUAUAGACACAGAUGUAAAAAUACAGAAAUUUGUAUACAAAUGAGUACCUAGUGAUUAUCAUUUUCCAGGUGACAUUUUACCUUAUAUGACUGGAUGGCAGCAUGUUUAGGCUGGAGAGGCUCUGCCUCUACCACUUACCUAUAGGUAUCCUGCGUGGUUUUCUGGUUUAACAGUAUCUCACUUUUGUUCUUGAAUGUCCCAGUGUGGUGGUUGUACAAGGCUGCUAAGCGGAAGUCCAGGUCAUCCUUUGGUAUCUACAGAAGUCAGUCCCCCCCAAGGUUAGCUCAGCCACCUGUGUCCCUGCUCUAGUCAGGUUCUAUUGUGCUCUACUCUUCCCCAAAAGUAUAGUGAAGGCUCUCUUGGGCCUGAAAUCCACCAACUCCGUACACACUAAAUUGUUGUAUAUGAUAACUCUUGUUGAUAUGGAAUUAUCUUUGGGUUAGGUCUAGGGAGUGGUGAGCUCUCACUGGAGACUCAGGAAUAUUGUUCCUGAUGUGGGCUUAAUGAACUUUACCUCAUUCAUGUUUAUAUUCAGUCCUUGUUUUAGUUAGAGAAUGAGAAGGUUUGUAAAAUCAUUUGCUCUAGAUAACUGCCUAGAGCAAAACCUAAGCCUUCUGGCUUCCCAGAGGCCAGAUAAAUUGAUUUUUGGCUUUGGAUUUGGUAGGAUCUUGGGUUAGAGACAAAAGGAAAAGUACUGAAGCAGUUAGGGACAGACUAAAUUUCAAAAAGAAUAUUAAGGGCUGGGUGCAGUGGCUCAUGCCUAUAAUCCCAGCACUUCGGGAGGCUCAAGUGAUACACCUGUCUCAGCCUCCCAAAGUGCUCAGAUUACAGGUAUGAGCCAUCAUGCCCGGCCCCAUCUAGUUUUAUUUGAAUCUCAGACAUCUGCAAAGAGAAGAAUGGUAUGGGGCAAGACUCCCCAGGCUCUUGAUCCUCCUAUGUUUUCUUAAUGAGAACUGACAGAAACAGGCCAGGAAUAUAGGAGAAGGUGUGGAGUGGGAUGAGGGGAGUGAAGAGUUGGGAGCAGAUAGGAAAAAUGAUGAGCUUAGGUUUAGAUGUACUGAGUUUGAAGAAAAGGUGAGACAUUCUAAUGCAAAUAACAGGUAGAAAAUUGGAAGUGUAACUUGUUGGAGGAGAGCUCAGAAGUCUUGGUUGUCCACAUGAAGUAGUAGCUGAAGCCUGCAAAAUGGAGUCAGGCCAAAAGGGAAGAACGGGUUUGUGAGGAUUGUACAGUAUUAUAACUGGGAGUGAGGAGGGCCCUAGAGAAGCAGUCAGAGACGAAAUCAGGAGAAUGCAAUGUCUAAGCAGGUGAGAAAAAGAUUCCAAUAAGCAGGGAAGGGUCAUUGAUUGCAGGAAUGGCAGAAAAAGUCCACUGGACAUUAGUCCUCUCAAUAAAACUCCACAGGCAUGAAUGUAAAAAGCAUGUAACAGAUUUCUUCAUUAUAUGUAAAAUGCCAUAUUCACCACUGUAUCCCCAGUUCCUAGCAC
rnacentral:lncRNA from 1 species